rnacentral:rRNA from 1 species
UACAUGGGGUGCAAACGUUGCUCGGAAUUAUUGGGCGUAAAGCGCACGUAGGCGGUUCGUUAAGUCGGAUGUGAAAGCCCUCGGCUCAACUGAGGAAGUGCACCCGAAACUGGCGAGCUUGAGUACGAAAGAGGAUCGCGGAAUUCCCGGUGUAGAGGUGAAAUUCGUAGAUAGUCGGGAAGGAACACCGGUGGCGAAGGCGGCCACCUGGACGGUCAC